rnacentral:rRNA from 1 species
UACGAAGGGGGCUAGCGUUGUUCGGAAUCACUGGGCGUAAAGCGCACGUAGGCGGAUCUUUAAGUCAGAGGUGAAAUCCCAAGGCUCAACCUUGGAACUGCCUUUGAUACUGGGGAUCUUGAGUCCGGGAGAGGUGAGUGGAACUGCGAGUGUAGAGGUGAAAUUCGUAGAUAUUCGCAAGAACACCAGUGGCGAAGGCGGCUCACUGGCCCGGUACUGACGCUGAGGCGCGAAAAGCGUGGGGGAGCAAACAGGGAUUAAGAAAACCCUGGUA